ACAGAGUGUACUCACUGCAGUUUGACGGUGCGUUCGUGGUCAGCGGCUCGUUGGACACCUCCAUCAGAGUCUGGAACGCAGUGACCGGUGGCUGUGUGCACACCCUCACUGGUCACCAGUCCCUCACCAGUGGGAUGGAGCUCCGGGAAAACAUCCUGGUUUCUGGGAACGCCGACUCCACGGUCCGAGUGUGGGACGUAAGGAGCGGAAAGUGUCUGCACACCCUGC